UACGUAGGGAGCAAGCGUUGUUCGGAUUUACUGGGCGUAAAGGGCGCGUAGGCGGCGCGGUAAGUCACUUGUGAAAUCUCUGAGCUUAACUCAGAACGGCCAAGUGAUACUGCAGUGCUAGAGUGCAGAAGGGGCAAUCGGAAUUCUUGGUGUAGCGGUGAAAUGCGCAGAUAUCAGGAGGAACACCGGUGGCGAAGGCGGAUCUCUGGGCCAUUACUGACGCUGAGGAGCGAAAGCGUGGGGAGCGAACAGG
rnacentral:rRNA from 1 species